rnacentral:misc_RNA from 1 species
AAGUCGUAACAAGGUAACCGUAGGUGAACCUGCGGUUGGAUCAUUAUGGGAGUGCCAUACAAUUUACGAAUUGUGUGCUUCGACCCUGUGCAUUUUUAGUACUUGAUACGUGAUUGAGAGUGCUCGUACGUGCUCACUACAAUACAAUAAACUAAGAAGCAAAUAAAAACAACUUUUGACAACGGAUCUCUUGGCUCUC